GACGAACGCUGGCGGCGUGCUUAACACAUGCAAGUCGAACGCUGAAGCUCAGCUUUUGUUGGGUGGAUGAGUGGCGAACGGGUGAGUAACACGUGAGUAACCUGCCCCCUUCUUUGGGAUAACGCCCGGAAACGGGUGCUAAUACUGGAUAUUCACUGGUCUUCGCAUGGGGGUUGGUGGAAAGGGUUUUUCUGGUGGGGGAUGGGCUCGCGGCCUAUCAGCUUGUUGGUGGGGUGAUGGCCUACCAAGGCUUUGACGGGUAGCCGGCCUGAGAGGGUGAGCGGUCACAUUGGGACUGAGAUACGGCCCAGACUCCUACGGGAGGCAGCAGUGGGGAAUAUUGCACAAUGGGCGCAAGCCUGAUGCAGCGACGCCGCGUGAGGGAUGGAGGCCUUCGGGUUGUGAACCUCUGUCGCUCAUGGUCAAGCCGCAACAAUGGUUGUGGUGAGGGUAGUGGGUAAAGAAGCGCCGGCUAACUACGUG
rnacentral:rRNA from 1 species